rnacentral:misc_RNA from 1 species
UACGGAUGGGGCGAGCGUUGUUCGGAAUCACUGGACGUAAAGCGUACGUAGGCGGUUAGGCAAGUCAGAAGUGAAAGCCCAGGGCUCAACCUUGGAACGGCUUUUGAAACUGCAUAACUAGAGUCCCGGAGAGGUUGGCGGAAUUCCGAGUGUAGAGGUGAAAUUCGCAGAUAUUCGGAGGAACACCAGUGGCGUAAGCGGCCAACUGGACGGGAACUGACGCUGAGGUACGAAAGCGUGGGGAGCAAACAGG